rnacentral:rRNA from 1 species
CUGGCCUACGGGAGGCAGCAGUCGGGAAUAUUGCGCAAUGGAGGGAACUCUGACGCAGUGACGCCGCGUAUAGGAAGAAGUUUUUCGGAAUGUAAACUAUUGUCGUUAGGGAAGAGAAAGGACGGUACCUAAGGAGGAAGCCCCGGCUAACUAUGUGCCAGCAGCCGCGGUAAUACAUAGGGGGCAAGCGUUAUCCGGAUUUACUGGGUGUAAAGGGAGCGUAGACGGAGGAGCAAG